rnacentral:lncRNA from 1 species
UUGGAUCAUCUCAAUCCUCAUUAGAGACUCUUAUCAUCAUCCCAACAACCUAUGUGGAUGAACAAUGCAUAUGGAUUGCAUUCAAAAGUGAUCAAAUUCCAACAGAUUAGGUUACAAAAAUUAAUUAACCAGCAUAUGAUGGUAGUGGAUUCAUGGUUACCUGAUUGGUUGAUAAGAAGGAAUGCGGGUAAUGCUCGUAUCUUUUAUACAUUGUCUGUAUGGUACUAGGCUUGAAUGGGCAGUAUCUAUGGAGAGGUUUCCCAGGC